CUAGCUGCCUUACAGAGCUCCAUGUGGCCUUCUAAAAUGCAGGCCAUCUCUGUGAGACUCUAGCCUGAUCGACAGUAGAACUGGCAAACAGACAGAUGGCCCCCACUGAUUCGUCCCUGCACCUGCAGUCCCUGACAGCUCCCUGAGGCUCCAAGUUUGCUCAUCUCUAACUGAGACGGCCCUUCAUACUCAAAUCACUCUUGGCUUCAGGUACUACCGAGUAAGUCAGUCCGUUUUCUAAGAGUUUGCUUCAAAGAAAGUGAGAACGAAUUUGUCACAGAGCACAGCUCCAAACGCACUCAGAAAUGACAGCCACAUCAGGCAGAGCAAGGGCAGGAGGGACUAAUUGUAUAGUUACCACAAAGACAAUCCAACACACUUAUUUCACAGGGAGAAAAUGGACCAUGCUGUUACUCCACUGGAAGUAACAAUGAUUGCUCAGGAACUGAACGCCACCUUCCGCCAGCUCCCUGGUAUCGAUGCAAAUCGUCCCGUUUUCCUGUGAUGCCGCCACUCAGAACAGAAACAUCUUUUCUGAUGGGUGCUGGGGAUAAUUCCUAAAACUCAGUGAAGUUAGCUCAGCCUGUUGGCUCUUCUACCAGGGGGCAGACUUCACAGCACCCAGACGCGGGCCACACAGCCCAGGUGGGCCCAGCCCAGCGGCUCCGGGGCUGGGCAUCUAACUCUGCUGUAGAAACCGUAAGUGUUUCCAGGUUGAAGUUUAGAGGGGACGGAGCCCCCUGGGAACGGCUGUUCCGGUAGCUGGUGCUGGAGCUGGGUCUGUGUUCCCGCACGCGGGUCGCACUGUCAACCACAAGUCUGCUGAAGACAGGUGCCACCUGGAAGCCCCUUCCCCAAGGGGAGAGCAUGGCUCAGAGAGGCCCCCACCAGGGCCGGGGGUAGGGGGCAAGAAGCUUUCCCUUGUGCUUGGGUAUUGCAAAAGAAACUUGAGGAGUUGAGAGCUCUGCCCCAGUGAGUGUCCCAAGGGGAGGCUGUCUUCUGGGUAGGUUGGGGCCCCCGACUGGAAAGCGGGAAGUGGGGAUCAGGGCACCUGUGCUUUCUCACAUGUGCUAGAUUCCUUCAUUCCUGGAUCCCCCACCGUUUUCUGCUGAAAGCCGGCCAGGGUUGUGCAAGUUUUCUUUCCCCAGCUUGGCACCAGGCAGCUGUGAGCCAAGAGGCCGCUUACUGGAUCCCUCCGUCCUGUCCCGUGCCGACCCCGCUGGGCCCGCGGGGGAAGGCAGGGUCGUCUGUUUGGGAGCAGCUCUUAGCUCACAGGCUCUCCCAGUAACAGGGUCAAGUGCCCAGUGCUGGGGGCAACGGGGCCUGGCUUCAGACACAGACCUCCCUGCGGAGGCCAUCCGUCUUGCUGAGUGGCUGACCCCACUUGGCCAGAGAGCGCGUCGGAAGCCAGGAUGGGCUCAAUCUGUGGGCUGCAGCGGGGCACAGGAGGGGCAGCGCAGUGCGCAGGCCAUCAGCAUGGGCCCUGGAGGCAGACCCUCCCUCUGCCUUGACCACGCACUCCUGCCACUGGGCGUCCUCAGUCUCCCCACCUGUCAAAUGAGGUGGAUUUGUCCCUGCUUCCAAGGGGAGUCAGCUCUGAGCAUUAGACACCCCAAGGAGAGCACCAGCACGCUCAGCCAGCACUCCCCAGAGCUACGGAGGAGCAGCACGGUUCCUCUGCUGUUGUGGGCAAACUCCUUCAGGGACUCUACUGUGGGCGGCUCUGGGGCACUAGCUGUGGGGGGAAUAGGAUAGUGAACGCAGUCUGCAUUCUCACCCCUGUGAUGGCCUCCUUGCCCCUAACGUAGCUGGUACACAGGAGGCAACCUCCUUACCCCAACCGCACCUGGCACACGGGAGGUACUUAGCAGAUGCCUUCUGCACGCCCAGCGGGGAAGCCCCUUUGCCCACAGAGUUCCCCAGCGAGCCUGCAGGUGGCUGGGCCCCAGGAGAGCUGUCUGGCAGCAGACGGCCCUGUGGGAGCCCCAGAGCCUGGCCUGGGUGCCUUCAACUUUCCCGUCUGGACUUCUCUCAUUUCCCUGAACCAGAUGCAUGUUAUCCCGUGGGGACGAACCGGCUGGUCCUUCACUGUGGUGCUGUGUCCCCAUCAUCCACAGCUCCCAGAACACACACGGCCCCAGACCCUCCGAGGCCUCCCCAGCGGGUCCCCUCUGAGCCACGUGGUUUGCUUUUCUAGAGUCUCUCAGUGCAUUCUCACACUUGUGAGCACCAGGGGCCACAGGAUGCAGGCACCUCCAGCCAAACACACGCGCUGAACAGCCAGAGUCACUUCCAAAGUCCUCCAAGUCCCAGCGGGACCAGCCCCUGUUAGCACAACUCCAGAGCUUACUGGGAAUGUGGGUAAACACUCUGGCAAGACACUCGCCCUGACAGCCGUGAUGAAUAGCUGGACUCGCUCUCCACCUGGCCCAGCUCGCUCCAAAUGCAAGCUCUGGAAAGAUCCUUUUCUCGUUUGCCCUUUGGUAAGUGCUGAGGCAUGAACAAAAGUCCAUUCCCAAGCUGGGUACCUAAUUUUUAUUAAUAAUAUCUCCACUCUAUCAAUCACUGCUAACUAACGGGAACACUUAAAGAAAUUAAUUUAAACCUGGCAAGAGGAAACACAGCAGUCCACUGCUUUCCCUCCUCGGUGAAUUCUGAGACUUUGGCUGCACUGAAAUGUGCGCCGUGCCAUGGGCUGGCCGGCUCAGCUUCCCCCAGUGGAGGCCAGCUUCUCUUUCUGCAACGAGGCACCCUGGACAAGGGGCAGUGUCAGCAGAGUCUCCUAAUUACUUCCCGACACCCCACCUGUUCUCAGAAGUGCUGGAGUGGCCACAGCCCACAGGGGGCCUGGGCACAGGGCUGGCCCACAGGUUGGGGGAGCUGCCCAUUCUUUGCAGGACACACCUGAUGCAGAGGUGGGGCCCCUGCUGUGUGGCUAUUCCUGCAAGUUCAGGCGUCUACAUUUUUUACCCAAAGGUAGAGACACAUGGGCCAGGAAGACACAGGCGAGAUGCAGGAGUUGAACAACCCUGAGAGGAUAUACUCUAUUCUUGCUUUGUCUUGCCCCUGGAUGCUGGUCCCUAUCUAACCUGAAACCUGGUGCUCCAAAGAUGGCUGGCUGUGGGCCCGUCUUCAGGGGCCCAUGUUUAUUUGUUCUCAGCAAAAUACAAUGUCUGGGAUAAAAGUCAAAGACAGCACUGGCGCAUCCCCACACCCAUCCCCACACCGAGACUUCUUCCCAAACCACAAAACAAGGGAGGCUGGACUUCCGAAGAGCUGCCCACGGUGCUGGAGGGGACGGUUCAGGUGCUUUGGGCCAACACAUGUUUUCAGAGUGAUGUAUUUGAAGACAGGCAGCAAGUGCUUCUGCACUUGGAUAUUUCUGCAUACAUAUUGAAUGUGGGAAGCUUAUUUGAGCAGUGUUAAAAAAAACUUUAUCUUUUAAUUUAAUGUUUAAAUUAAUUGAUUUUAUAACUCCUUUUAGAAGCUUCUUACAUUUCGGAGAGUAGUUAUUUUUUAAGUUGUGCUUUGUUUUAUUUUUGAGUGACACAUGAUAACUGUAUACAUUUGAUGCCUUGUUUUCUCCCUUUCAUGUGAAAGUCUCAGGUGUCCUUUAUGUUCAUGUGGUCUCCACAGCCUCCGUUCAGAGAGCGGAGGCAGAGGAAGUCAGUGGGGUUGGAUAAUUGCAUUCAGCAGGUGCCACAUACAGAGCAGCUCCUGUGAAUUAUUAAUGAUAAAUUAUUUGGGGAAAAAACUUCUUGGACUUUCUUUGUCGUACUUUUAACAAUUGAGCACGAUACUCGUCAGACAGCUUCUUGCGAGCUGUCAAAUUAUUUAAAUGACAGAUGAAUGUGCUGGGUAUGUAACGAAAAAAGAGUGCUCUCUGUGCUGGUUUGAUGGGCACCGUUCGGGCUUUUCAAAAUAAAGGUUCUGAGCACUUUAAUUUUGGAGUGACUUGCCGUGGUUCACCAAAG
rnacentral:lncRNA from 1 species